GGCGCUAUCGUCUAGCCUGGUCUAGGACAUCAGCUUCUCAAGCUGGGUACACCGGUUCAAAUCCGGUUAGCGCUACCA
rnacentral:tRNA from 1 species